UACGUAGGGUGCAAGCGUUAAUCGGAAUUACUGGGCGUAAAGCGUGCGUAGGCGGUGAUGUAAGUCAGAUGUGAAAUCCCCGGGCUCAACCUGGGAACUGCAUUUGAGACUGCAUCGCUGGAGUGCGGCAGAGGGGGAUGGAAUUCCGCGUGUAGCAGUGAAAUGCGUAGAUAUGCGGAGGAACACCGAUGGCGAAGGCAAUCCCCUGGGCCUGCACUGACGCUCAUGCACGAAAGCGUGGGGAGCAAACAGG
rnacentral:rRNA from 1 species